CUCGCGAGAUAUAUCACGGUCAGUAAUUAUAGACGUGGCCCGAAGCGUCUUCGCCAUGUUCUCACUGUGUUGUGUCGUCAAAUAUUAAAGCUGUGACAACUUCGGAAGCGCAUCCUAAUUACAGCUAACUUAUUUUCAGGGUCAAUCGCCAGACUGGAGGACACGGAGAAUUAUCACGUAACUUUCGAGACAGUGUCGUGCAACGAUUGAGUGAUAACCGGUCUCCAGUUGAACAUACCAAGACUGGCAAGAGUGCCAAUCACGUCGCUGAAGGACACGGAGAAUCAACAUGUUUUCGAGGCAACUUCGUGCACCGCUCGCCAGUUAAGUAUACCAAAAAGUUUAAUUUUAACGUAGGUAUUAUUUAUUAUACUAUAGCACACAUAUGUCAUGAAUCUAUGUUAUGAAUCUGCUGGUGUUUUCUAGCAUUAGCGCUAUGUUGCAGGUACUAGAGUGUGUGGUAUAGUGUAUAUAUGGUAUAUAUUUAACGUACGCUGACUAUUGGGAGAGGUUAUAUGGGUUAUUAUGGGAUUUAUAGUGAGAAUGAAAGGAAGCUAUAAUUAAUUUGGACUAGGAUAUUCGCAGAAUGGAUUUAUACAAACGAAAUUUCAGAACCAUUUUGUUCGUAACACGGCUGUGCCUUGUAGAGUAUCUUGACCGGCUACUU